UUUCCUUUAAAUUUUUUUUUUUUUUUACUUUUUAAAACUAGUCAAGUGAAACAGUGAGAGUGAAGAAGGAACAAGUAACUGGCUGGUUGUGAUCAAUUAGCUGUAAACGCCGCUGCACUCGGACCAGCCUUUUUUUUUUUUUUUUUUUUUUUUGGACACAGUAUCACUCUGUUGCCUAGGCUGGUAGGAUCAUAGCUCACUGCAGCCUCCCACUUUCCCACUCCAGGGCUCAAGCCGUCCUCCUGCCUCAGCCUCCCAGGUAGUCGAGACUACAGUCACACACCUGUUCCCUUAAUUCUUGAUAAGUAGUAUUUUCAUUUAGUUUUGUUCUGAAUUUCUUUUUUUUUUUUUUUUUUUUUUUUUGAGAUGGAGCCUCGUUCUGUCGCCCAGGCUGGAGUGCAGUGGUGCGAUCUCAGCUCACUGCAACCUCUGCCUCCUGAGUUCAAACAAUUCUGUCUCAGCCUCCCGAGUAGCUGGGAUUACAGGUGUCCACCACCAUGCCCAGCUAAUUUUUGUAUUUUUUAGUAGAGAUGGUUUCACUAUGUUGGCCAGGCUGGUCCUGAACUCCUGACCUCAGGUAAUCCACCCGCCUCAGCAUCCCAAACUGCUGGGAUUACAGGCAUGAGCCACUGCGCCUGGACAUUUUGUUCUGAUUUUCUAAUACCAAUUAUCUAUUUUGGCUUGGGAAUUGCUGAAAAGUAUGCUUAUUUAUAUUUUCAAAUGCAUAUUGUUUUUUGUUGGGAGAAGACUAACCCUUGGUUAUUGAUAUUUUAUUAUAUAUGGUCAGAGAAGGAUCUGGAUAAUACUGAUAUUUUGAGGGUCUACAAAGACCCUUUCUUUGUAUCCUACAUGGUCCAUUUUUGUAAAAGUUUCCUAUUUAUUCAGUAGGAAUUGUUGGAUACAG
rnacentral:lncRNA from 1 species